GCUCUGCUGUAGGUGCAACAAGCAUAUUUGGGAAGUUCUCAUGCGUCAAUUUAAGGAUUUAAGGAUUUAAUGCAAUUAACAGCCAUCCAGGGGACCUGCCAGUAACCAGACAUCAAGUGUAAACUAUUCAUAAUGUGGCAUCAGUGCAUCUGGAACCCGACAGAUCAUCCUUUUUCCUGAACUACUGAACCAUUUUCAUGAGAAGAUGUGUAGCAGAACACCCCAGCCUGAGCAGCUCACUGCAGAUACUUUUAAAAUUAUGAAGAAUAAAUCCCUUACGGAGUUGUAA